rnacentral:rRNA from 1 species
AGCAGCCGCGGUAAUUCCAGCUCCAAUAGCAUAUAUUAAAGUUGCUGCGGUUAAAAAGCUCGUAGUUGAAUUUCGGGAUUGAUGCAUCGGUCGUGCCUUAAGGGGUAUGAACUGGUGUAGCCAAUUUCUCACCUUCUGGUGAAUUGUGACGUCCUUAAUUGGGUGUUUCAAUGAACUAGGACUUUUACUUUGAAAAAAUUAGAGUGUUUAAAGCAGGCAUUUUUGCUUGAAUACAUUAGCAUGGAAUAAUAAAAUAGGACGAUGGCUCUAUUUUGUUGGUUUCUAGGAUCACGUAAUGAUUAAUAGGGAUAGUUGGGGGCAUUAGUAUUCAAUUGUCAGAGGUGAAAUUCUUGGAUUUAUUGAAGACUAACUACUGCGAAAGCAUUUGCCAAGGAUGUUUUCAUUAAUCAAGAACGAAAGUUAGGGGAUCGAAGACGGUCAGGUACGUCGUAGUCUUAACCAUAAACUAUGCCGACUAGGAAUCAGACAAUGUUAAAUUUUUAAUGACUUGUUUGGCACCUUACGG